rnacentral:tRNA from 1 species
AAAGGGAGACCUAAUUCGGGUAGAAGACGAAAAAAUAGUAGUCGAAACCAAGAAUCAAUCCCAAAAGGUCGGAGCGAGGCGAAAUUGGCUUUCAAACUAGGUUCUGGGUUCAAACAAGACCUGAAUCAGGAACAAGGGCUAUUAGCUCAGGUGGUUAGAGCGCACCCCUGAUAAGGGUGAGGUCCCUGGUUCGAGUCCAGGAUGGCCCACCUGUACAGGUGGCAAAAAGAAAGAAAAGAAGCGAGGAAUCAGCACCUUAUCUUACUGACAUAGUAAGAGAGAAUGCUGGCUCUGAGUAAAGAGUCCAGAGGAACCUUGAAAACUGCAUAGAGCUAGGUGAAAAAGCCAAAAAAGAAGACCGCAAG